AUUAUGGCUCAGAUUGAACGCUGGCGGCAGGCCUAACACAUGCAAGUCGAGCGGUAACACAGGAGAGCUUGCUCUCUGGGUGACGAGCGGCGGACGGGUGAGUAAUGUCUGGGAAACUGCCCGAUGGAGGGGGAUAACUACUGGAAACGGUAGCUAAUACCGCAUAACGUCUUCGGACCAAAGAGGGGGACCUUCGGGCCUCUUGCCAUCGGAUGUGCCCAGAUGGGAUUAGCUAGUAGGUGGGGUAAUGGCUCACCUAGGCGACGAUCCCUAGCUGGUCUGAGAGGAUGACCAGCCACACUGGAACUGAGACACGGUCCAGACUCCUACGGGAGGCAGCAGUGGGGAAUAUUGCACAAUGGGCGCAAGCCUGAUGCAGCCAUGCCGCGUGUAUGAAGAAGGCCUUCGGGUUGUAAAGUACUUUCAGCGAGGAGGAAGGCAUUAAGGUUAAUAACCUCAGUGAUUGACGUUACUCGCAGAAGAAGCACCGGCUAACUCCGUGCCAGCAGCCGCGGUAAUACGGAGGGUGCAAGCGUUAAUCGGAAUUACUGGGCGUAAAGCGCACGCAGGCGGUCUGUCAAGUCGGAUGUGAAAUCCCCGGGCUCAACCUGGGAACUGCAUUCGAAACUGGCAGGCUAGAGUCUUGUAGAGGGGGGUAGAAUUCCAGGUGUAGCGGUGAAAUGCGUAGAGAUCUGGAGGAAUACCGGUGGCGAAGGCGGCCCCCUGGACAAAGACUGACG
rnacentral:rRNA from 1 species